GCGGGUGACGCAGUAUUCUAGUCAGUGCAUACGAUCCCGAAAGCGGGCCUAAAAAUCCGUUAAAGGGCACAUCGAUGAAGUCCCUGGUGCUUGCUUCUUACGCCCAGUCUGGGGUGGGUGCUGGGGGUUAAGGCUUUAGGGCGCGUUUCAAUGGCAUGAAAUACCGACCCUAUUGCCGUGGAGACCCGUGGCUGUCGGGCACCUAUAGCACCCUGUUAUGGGGUUGAUGGAUGUCCAACGGUGCGGGGUGAAACCUGUAUUGCGGUGUGGCGGCAAACGAUGCAAUACCUCUGUUUUUACAGCUCGGCUGCAUCGGAAAGACCAAAAUGCUGUGUGCAGAGUAGCCUGCCUUGCGUGGUUAUGGUGGAUGGAGUACCUGCUUUGCAGUGCACGGCCAUGUGCUGCAAAGAAUCGAUCUUGAAACCAUGGCUGCAAAAGAGGCUAAGGAUCGUGUUGGCUGUAGUGGAAAUCACCUAGACUGUCCACCAGGGCAGGCGAGGGAUUGCAGUACGGACUAAGUGGCAAUUCGGUCCCGGAUAUGGUAACAUACCGGCUCGGCUUUUAAAGGGAAACCGCCAGAGCGGCGACGCAUGGUAAGCCGCGGGGAAAUCCAACCGAACCUCAAGCCGUAAGAUUUACCUCGUCUGUCGUCACCCUCUAUU
rnacentral:sRNA from 1 species